AAGAAAGAGGGUAUCAGAUCACUCGAAACUGGUAUUCCGCCGUUUUUUUCUUUCCUCUUUUCUAUUUAUAAUUUUAAUAAAAAAAAAAGCUUUAUCCUUGUAAUUAAGCCAAGAAAGAACCUUUUUUGUGUCUAAUACAAGAACAACUAAUCAACUUUUUCUUCCAUCAAAUAGUAUUUAAUUUAUUACCGCUAUUAUUGUUACUGAACGACUAACCAAUUCCACUCUUUAAAAUUAAAUAAAAGGGAGUAGGUUCCAACAAAAAAAACAUCUUUGACAA
rnacentral:lncRNA from 1 species